AGAAUUGACGGGGCCCGCACAAGCGGCGGAGCAUGCGGAUUAAUUCGAUGCAACGCGAAGAACCUUACCAAGGCUUGACAUACACCGGUAACGCCCAGAGAUGGGUGCCCCUUUGUGGUCGGUGUACAGGUGGUGCAUGGUUGUCGUCAGCUCGUGUCGUGAGAUGUUGGGUUAAGUCCCGCAACGAGCGCAACCCUCGUCCUAUGUUGCCAGCGGGUCAUGCCGGGGACUCAUGGGAGACUGCCGGGGUCAACUCGGAGGAAGGUGGGGAUGACGUCAAAUCAUCAUGCCCCUUAUGUCUUGGGCUUCACGCAUGCUACAAUGGCCGGUACAAAGGGCUGCGAUACCGCGAGGUGGAGCGAAUCCCAAAAAGCCGAUCUCAGUUCGGAUUGGGGUCUGCAACUCGACCCCAUGAAGUCGGAGUCGCUAGUAAUCGCAGAUCAGCAACGCUGCGGUGAAUACGUUCCCGGGCCUU
rnacentral:rRNA from 1 species